AAUGGGGGAUAACGUAGCGAAAGUUACGCUAAUACCGCAUAUGCCCUGAGGGGGAAAGUGGGGGAUCGCAAGACCUCACGUUUUCGGAGCGGCCGAUAUCAGAUUAGCUAGUUGGUGGGGUAAAGGCCUACCAAGGCGACGAUCUGUAGCUGGUCUGAGAGGACGACCAGCCACACUGGGACUGAGACACGGCCCAGACUCCUACGGGAGGCAGCAGUGGGGAAUUUUGGACAAUGGGGGCAACCCUGAUCCAGCCAUGCCGCGUGAGUGAAGAAGGCCUUCGGGUUGUAAAGCUCUUUCGGACGGAAAGAAAUCCUAUCCGCUAAUACCGGGUGGGGAUGACGGUACCGUAAGAAGAAGCACCGGCUAACUACGUGCCAGCAGCCGCGGUAAUACGUAGGGUGCGAGCGUUAAUCGGAAUUACUGGGCGUAAAGCGUGCGCAGGCGGUUUAUUAAGACAGAUGUGAAAUCCCCGGGCUUAACCUGGGAACUGCAUUUGUGACUGGUAGGCUAGAGUGUAGCAGAGGGGGGUAGAAUUCCA
rnacentral:rRNA from 1 species